rnacentral:rRNA from 1 species
CUCGGAGGGAUCAUUAAAGAGUUCUAUAACUCCCAAACCCAUGUGAACAUACCUUACGUUGCCUCGGCAGGUCGCGCCUACCUAGUAGCGCCCUACCCUGUAGGGCCUACCCGGGAGACGCGGGUAAGCCUGCCGGCGGCCCACGAAACUCUGUCUGAUAUUGAAUUCUGAACCUAUAACUAAAUAAGUUAAAACUUUCAACAACGGAUCUCUUGGUUCUGGCAUCGAUGAAGAACGCAGCGAAAUGCGAUAAGUAAUGUGAAUUGCAGAAUUCAGUGAAUCAUCGAAUCUUUGAACGCACAUUGCGCCCAUUAGUAUUCUAGUGGGCAUGCCUGUUCGAGCGUCAUUUCAACCCUUAAGCCUCUGUUGCUUAGCGUUGGGAGCCUACAGCACCUGUAGCUCCUCAAAGUUAGUGGCGGAGUCGGUUCACACUCUAGACGUAGUAAUUCUUUCUCGCCUAUUAGUUGGAACCGGUCUCCCGCCGUAAA